AACGUGGACUACAGUAGAGCUGCUUGCAGCAGUCUGUGAACAGUGUUUUCUGUUGGAGAUGGUAACUCCCUUUGGGAUGGACUUUGGGCUUUUUCACUAUGUAAACCUAUAAGGUGCACCAAAAGAUAUAACACAAUAACGUAAAGGGAAAAAACAAAAAGCAUAAUAUGAGCACUUUAAUAACGCAGCAAAAA